rnacentral:rRNA from 1 species
GACGGGGGCCCGCACAAGCGGUGGAGCAUAUGGUUUAAUUCGAUGAUACGCGAGGAACCUUACCUGGGCUUAAAUGGGAGUGACAGCUGUCGAAAGAUGGUUUUCUUCGGACACUCUUCAAGGUGCUGCAUGGUUGUCGUCAGCUCGUGCCGUGAGGUGUCGGGUUAAGUCCCAUAACGAGCGCAACCCUUACCGUUAGUUACCAUCAGGUUAAGCUGGGGACUCUAGCGGGACUGCCACCGUAAGGUGAGAGGAAGGUGGGGAUGACGUCAAGUCCUCAUGGCCUUUAUGACCAGGGCUACACACGUACUACAAUGGCCGAUACAAAGGGCAGCGACACUGCGAGGUGAAGCCAAUCCCGUAAAAUCGGUCUCAGUCCGGAUUGGAGUCUGCAACUCGACUCCAUGAAGUUGGAAUCGCUAGUAAUCGUGGAUCAGCAUGCCACGGUGAAUACGUUCCCGGGCCUU